CGCCUCCAAGGCAGUGAUUGGCUCACUGCGACCCACAUCCCCGCCCAAGGCUGCCUAAUGGUACCUUCCCAUGGAGAAAAAUGAUUUUGUCCCUCGCAGACUCUCUCAGCACUUUUUUCACUCUAAAGCCGGAGAAUGAAAUUUUCAUCGUGUUCAGUGCCGAAAAGAAAGCUUACAACGCAUGACAGCUUCCUUGACUUGGCGGAAGCCGCCGUCGGGGCCCCGGCCAUCCACGAAGUACAUGAAGCGGAGCUCGGCAGGGUAAGCGGCUCUGGUGAGGCCCGACAUCAGCGGGAUGGUGCGGCCCUCUGCCCCAGGGGCCUCGCUCAGGGCCUGCAGCAUCUGGUACUUGCACCACGGGUCCUGCAGGAAGCCUGGGGUGAUGAGCAGCACGCGGCAGUGACUGCUACUCAGUGCCUGGCACAACUCGGACACGAUGGCGCCGCCUGGGGUCGCAUCCCGAAGCUGCAGGAAGCAGCGCAGGCUGGCAGUGCUGCCCUCCAGGACCUGCCUGAACCAGUCUGUAGGGGAGAGAAACACUCUCAGGCCGGGUAUUCUCACCAGACUGUGUCCUCAUGGUCCUGCACAGAGGACCCCGCACCCGGCAGGUCCGCCCAUGGCCCCGCACUGACAAACCAUGCCACCUGACUCUCAGAGACCUGCUGCUCUGCUCUUUUGUACAUGCUUCAGGACUUGCCUUCAAGGAUACCCCGAUGGUGGAGGCUCUUUCAGCCUCGGUUUCUAGGAAGACAGUAUGUGGAGCAGAGCCGUCCCUCAUCUGAGGCGGAGUUGCAGUGUUUGCAUGGGAAGGGCUGCUGGAGAACUUGGCCCUAGAGCUGGAGCAGUGGGCAGAGCUGCCUGCUUUCUCACUCUGACCUAGCUGCACAGGUCAAAACAGACCUCUGGGAACUCACAGAAAAACUACUUGUUUUGUGAAACACACAGAAAUAAAU